UAAGAACGAUAUAUAAACCUUCGUAUAUCCUUAGGAAUAUGGCCUAAGAGUCUCUACCGGAUUACCGUAAACAAUCUGACUAUGAAGGCAGAAUGGGUUUGU
rnacentral:ncRNA from 2 species